UUAGUAUCAUCAUUUCCAUUAUUGUAAUUCUAAUCCUAACUAAUUGUAAAUAUUUAAAUAUGUUUACCCUUAACCUAGCCUCAACUCUCACUAAUGACAUAUUUUGGCUUCCUAACGCUAUCUGUAAUUCAAAAUGUAAUGAACAGAUUUACACAACUUUAAUCAAUCCUGACUCUAAGAUUAACUUUAAUAUUUUACCAUCAUUUAUGAUCCCAAGCACCUUAUAAUUACUAAUGCAAUCUCUACUUCGCUAACACAAUUUUUAUACUCUUAAACUUGGCAUCAUUAUCCCUCUAACCCUGAUCACUAGGAAAAGAGUAAUAGACAUCAAAAGUCCACUAUUAAUUUUGAAACCUUAACAUUGCAAAGAUAGAUAGCAAUGAUCUUAGAUGUCAAGAGCAUAUAUCUGCCUAUAGUUAAUGAAAUAAUCAGCUUUUUGUAACUGUAUACUGUUGGAGACAUGUUAGCAUAAACCUUUUUUAUGACAUUUUUUGCAUUGCCAUCCUGUAUUGCGGAUUGGAAAUAAGAUAUUACCCACUUGUGAAAUCUAUCAAAUCAAACCAGAAAGAUCUAAG